CUUGCUGGAGAUUACUGCUUACCUGUGGCCCUCUGAGGGUCAAAGACAAAACCUGAAGCCACUUUGCUGCUUUCUAAUGCAGCGUGUUCCUCCUGUGCCUGCAACUAUGGGAUAAAAGGAUUUGCUUUUCAUCUUAGGCCAAAUUAAAUUUUAAUUGCCAGUGAAAAGACAAAUGUCAAAAGAAAGUUUUCAAGCUGAUAUUCUGAUCUGCUGUCACAGGAUGCUUUAUAUCAAUUUUCAAGUACAAUUGAUUGUUCAGUAUGUGUAUAUCACAGUACGAUGUUUUGAAAUAAAUCUAGAAUCUUCUGUGGGGAGGGGGAAGGGAAGAAAACUGUUGAUUCUAGAGAACAGUCUGUAUGUAGAUGUUCUGUCAGAAACUUCGUGUAGCUUCUCAGAUUUUUGAUGUCAGAUAAUCUAAGUACAGAAAAUUGAACAUAACGUAUAGAUGGUUAAAUUGUAUAUUGCAGAAUAUACUAGUUUGCAUGCAGAACGUGUGUAAGGGGGUAUUAUGAAAUCAUGAACAGAAAUCAUUGCAUCUGACUGUCCUUAAUUCUUAAUGCUCUAGUACUAGACCUAAGCUUUUCUGCUGAAAUGCAGUUCUUGUGUGUUCUCUGUUUUCUAAGUUAUCUUUUAAAAAGAAAUUCAGAUUCAAAAAAUGAGUAUGAAGUAUAUUGAUAUUUGCUAAAUAUCAUUUAAUGGCUAUUUCAUACUGGGAACUGCUAGUUCAUUGUGGUCACACUAAGAAAAUGUGAAAUAGUAUUUAAAAUGCUGUUUAUUGGAGCUAACACUAUAAAGGAAGAUGGUAUAGAUAACCUUGUAUCUCUUCAGACAGAGGCCAGAGCCGUGUACUACUGCUCAUGUAGGGGGCCCUUUUUUUUUUGUCUUCUGCGAUUUAUAGCGUUUUGUUGAAAGAAAAUAACUCCAUUCAUCAUUUCUACUGUCAAAUAAAAGUGAUGUUCCCAUGAGAACGUGUUGCUGUACAGUUUGAUAAAGGCAAGAGAUGCAGGCUGUGUCAUCGCUGGUACUGAGCGGGAGCUGGGUACAAGUUCACGUGUUACAGCAAGCCCACCAAGUUCAUUCUGCAGCAAGGGAAAAGAGACACAAUUCACCACAGGCCUUAAGACAAUGUUGUACGUGCAGUCAGAUCCUACUGGCGUUAACUGUUACAUGGAUUACUGUUUCCUUGAAGUGCAGUGCUAUUUGGGCUCAGAUCACUAUAGCAGCUGUGACUUCUGUGAAUGGAAGAAAACAGAAUAUUAUUUUAAGUCUGUAGGAAAGCAGACAUGAACAUAAUGAUAUUGUUUCAUUCAAUUAUGACUUAAAUAUGGCAUGUAAUUGUAAAACUUAUGGAACUAUGGAAGUGGAAAUUUAUAAUAACGCAGUCUUAAUAAAAUAAAUUUAAUCCAUAAAGCAGAUAUUACACCAAGACAGACAUCAAAUUAAAACUCUCAGGCACU
ensembl:lncRNA